rnacentral:rRNA from 1 species
GAUGAACGCUGGCGGCGUGCCUAAUACAUGCCAGUCGAGCGAACAGAUGAGGAGCUUGCUCCUCUGACGUUAGCGGCGGACGGGUGAGUAACACGUGGAUAACCUACCUAUAAGACUGGGAUAACUUCGGGAAACCGGAGCUAAUACCGGAUAAUAUAUUGAACCGCAUGGUUCAAUAGUGAAAGACGGUUUUGCUGUCACUUAUAGAUGGAUCCGCGCCGCAUUAGCUAGUUGGUAAGGUAACGGCUUACCAAGGCAACGAUGCGUAGCCGACCUGAGAGGGUGAUCGGCCACACUGAACUGAGACACGGUCCAGACUCCUACGGGAGGCAGCAGUAGGGAAUCUUCCGCAAUGGGCGAAAGCCUGACGGAGCAACGCCGCGUGAGUGAUGAAGGUCUUCGGAUCGUAAAACUCUGUUAUUAGGGAAGAACAAAUGUGUAAGUAACUAUGCACGUCUUGACGGUACCUAAUCAGAAAGCCACGGCUAACUACGUG